rnacentral:rRNA from 1 species
GUGGGGAAUAUUGCACAAUGGGCGCAAGCCUGAUGCAGCCAUGCCGCGUGUAUGAAGAAGGCCUUCGGGUUGUAAAGUACUUUCAGCAGUGAGGAAGGCGGGUACGUUAAUAGCGUGCUUGUUUGACGUUUAGCUGCAGAAGAAGCACCGGCUAACUCCGUGCCAGCAGCCGCGGUAAUACGGAGGGUGCGAGCGUUAAUCGGAAUUACUGGGCGUAAAGCGCAUGCAGGUGGUUUGUUAAGUCAGAUGUGAAAGCCCGGGGCUCAACCUCGGAAUUGCAUUUGAAACUGGCAGACUAGAGUACUGUAGAGGGGGUAGAAUUUCAGGUGUAGCGGUGAAAAUGCGUAGAGAUCUGAAGGAAUACCGGUGGCGAAGGCGGCCCCCUGGACAGAUACUGACACUCAGAUGCGAAAGCGUGGGGAGCAAACAGGAUUAGAUACCCUGGUAG